rnacentral:pre_miRNA from 1 species
AAGGACUGCAGUUUUGCACCGUACAUGUCCAAUGUUUGACCGUCCAUAUUAUUUGAAAAAAAAAUGAUUAAUAUUUUUGUUGUUAUUAGAUGAUAAAACAUGAAUAGUAAUUUAUGUUUGACUAUUUUUUUAAAAAAAUUAUAACUUUUUAAAUAAAACGAACAGUCACACGUAAAUAAACAACUACACUUAAA